rnacentral:lncRNA from 13 species
GAUUCAGAAAUCGAGGAAGAAGAAAAUGUUAAUAUACCAAUAUCAACUUUAAAAUCAAUAUUAUUUGAAAUAAAAGAGUUAAAAAAGGGACAGGAAAAAAUAUUAGAAGUUAUAAAUCAAUUUGGAAAUGCAAAAAGUACUAGCACAGCUGUCAUAAAAGAAGUUCAAAAAUUGAAUCUUCCUCUGCAAACAGUUGAACAAUUUCAUAGCCUUAUAAAUGAUGAGAAAGCAUUGACUAUUUUGGAAAAAUAUUUUGUUCUCCUCGGAGGGUUCAACAUAUCAAAUGCCUUGGAUGGUUUUUUAAAAGCAAGCGUGACAGACAAAUUAAUAAAGUCAUCUUUCACGUGGAAAGAGGGAGAUAAAAAAAUUCGAUUCCGGGAAACAGCUUUGAGUCUAAAAUAUUAUGGUAAUUAUGAAAAUUAUUUCAAUUAUCUUGGAUUGACUUGACUCUUUGAUUUAAAAGUUAAUCUAAUGUUAUCACUUGCCGAGCACUAGAUAGUAACAUACCCGGGUCGCAAUAUGUACGUUCAUUUAAAUUGAAAAAAGAUUAUUUUUUAAAUGAAAGAAUAUAUCUAUGUACUACAAUAAAUACAUUAUCUCUUCAAAAAAAUAAGUAAUUAAUAAUUAUUCAAAUUGUCUAUUUUGUUCUGCUUGUAUUAAAGUCAGUUUUCCGCAAGGCAACUAGCCAUAAUUUGUAUCCUUUGGCAGAUAC